rnacentral:rRNA from 1 species
GACAGAGGCCUCAAGCGUUAGGCGGAAUCACUGGGCUUAAAGGGUGCGUAGGCGGCGCAGUAAGUUGGGUGUGAAAUCCCUCGGCUUAACCGAGGAAUUGCGCCCAAAACUACUGUGCUCGAGGGAGGUAGAGGUGAGCGGAACUUAGGGUGGAGCGGUGAAAUGCGUUGAUAUCCUAAGGAACACCGGUGGCGAAAGCGGCUCACUGGACCUCUUCUGACGCUGAGGCACGAAAGCUAGGGUAGCAAACGGG